UGGGGAUCUAUGGGGUUCUAUGGGGAUCUAUGGGGCUUUAUGGGGCUCUAUGGGGCUCUAUGGGGAUCUACGGGGUUCUGUGGGGUCUCUGUGGGGCUCUAUGGGGCUAUAUGGGGGCUCUAUGGGGUCUCUAUGGGGUCUCUGUGGGUCUCUAUGGGGUUUCUGUGGGUCUCUAUGGGUCUCUAUGGGUCUCUAUGUGUAUCUGCCCCACAGUCGCUGGCUGCGGUGGCUGCUGCCCCACGGGAGGAGCUGGCACUGUGCCCAGGGAUCGGACCCCAAAAGGCCAAGCGUCUGUUUGAAGCCCUACACGAACCCUUCCUGAAGACCCCCAAAAACCCCACAACUGCCCUUUGAUCCUAUAAACCAACGAACCCAUAAACACAACAAGCGCCGCACUGCGACUGCAGCACCACUGCGGGGUCAAUGGGGACACAUGGGGGUGAAUGGGGCCAUAUUGGGGUCAAUGGGGCCGUAUUGGGGUCAGUGGGGCCAUAUUGGGGUCAAUGGGGCCACAUUGGGGUUAAAGGGGCCGUAUUGGGGUCAAUGGGGCCACAUUGGGGUCAAUGGGGCCGUAUUGGGGUCAAUGGGGCCAUAUUGGGGUCAAUGGGUCCAUAUUGGGGUUAAUGGGGACACAUUGGGGUCAGUGGGGCUAUAUUGGGGUCAAUGGGUCCAUAUUGGGGUAAAUAGGGCCAUAUUGGGGUCAAUGGGGCCAUAUUGGGGUAAUGAGACACAUUGGGGUCAAUGGGGACACAUUGGGGUCAAUGGGGCCAUAUUGGGGUCAAUGGGGCCAUAUUGGGGUUAAUGGGGCCAUAUUGGGGUCAAUGGGGACACAUUGGGGUCAAUGGGGCCAUAUUGGGGUCAAUGGGGCCAUAUUGGGGUCAGUGGGGGCACAUGGGGGACAAUGGGGACACAUUGGGGUCAGUGGGGACACAUUGGGGUCAAUGGGGCCAUAUUGGGGUCAAUGGGGCCAUAUUGGGGUCAAUGGGGACACAUUGGGGUCAAUGGGGACAUAUUGGGGUCAAUGGGGCCAUAUUGGGGUCAAUGGGGACUCAUUGGGGUCAGUGGGAACACAUUGGGGUGAAUGGGGCCAUAUUGGGGUUAAUGGGACUGCAUUGGGGUCAAUGGGACACACUGGGGUCAAUAGGGUCAAUGGGAACACACUGGGGUCACAGUGGCUUUAAUAGGAUCACAUUGGGGUCACAUUGACUUUAAUGGGAUCACAUUGGGGUCAAUGGGGUCCCAUUGGCUUUAAUAGGAACACAUUGGGGUCAAUGGGAACACACUGGGAUCUAUAGGGUCACAUUGUCUUUAAUGGGACCCCAUUGGCUUUAAUAGGAUCACAUUGGGAUCAAUGGGGUCCCAUUGGCUUUAAUAGGAUCAUAUUGGGAUCAAUGGGGUCCCAUUGGCUUUAAU
ensembl:lncRNA